rnacentral:rRNA from 1 species
AUACGGAGGACGCGAGCGUUAUCCGGAUUCAUUGGGUUUAAAGGGUGCGCAGGCGGCCGUGCAAGUCAGCGGUGAAAGCCCGGGGCUCAACCCCGGAAGUGCCGUUGAUACUGCAUGGCUGGAAUGCGGUCGAGGCGGGCGGAACGUGGCGUGUAGCGGUGAAAUGCGUAGAUAUGCCACAGAACACCGAUAGCGGAGGCAGCUCGCCGGGCCUGCAUUGACGCUCGGGCACGAAAGCGUGGGGAUCGAACAGGAUUAGAUCCCCUGGUAGUCCACGCCGUAAACGAUGGGCGCUCGUCGUCGGCGGCAGACAGUCGGCGGCCAAGCGAAAGCGAUAAGCGCCCCACCUGGGGAGUACGGUCGCAAGGCUGAAACUCAAAUGAAUUGACGGGG